GUCGAACGGUAACACGCCGCAAGGUGCUGACCAGUGGCGAACGGCUGAGUAAUGCAUCCGAACCUGCCCCGUCCUGGGGGAUAACGCAGCGAAAGCUGCGCUAAUACCGCAUACCAUCUAUGGAUGAAAGCGGGGGACCGUAAGGCCUCCCGCGAUUGGAGCGGCCGAUGUCCGAUUAGGUAGUUGGUGGGGUAAAGGCUCCCCCAGCCAACGAUCUGUAGCUGGUCUGAGAGGACCACCAGCCCCCCUGGAACUGAGACACGGUCCAGACUCCUACCGGAGGCAGCCGUGGGGAAUUUUGGACAAUGGGCGCCAGCCUGAUCCCGCCAUGCCCCGUGCAGGAAGAAGGCCUUCCGGUUGUAAACUGCUUUUGUACGGAACGAAACGGUCUGAGUUAAUACCUCCGGCUAAUGACGGUACCCUAAGAAUAAGCCCCGGCUAACUACGUGCCCGCAGCCGCGGUAAUACGUAGGGUGCCAGCGUUAAUCGGAAUUACUGGGCGUAAAGCGUGCGCAGGCCGUGAUGUAAGACAGUCGUGAAAUCCCCGGGCUCAACCUGGGAAUUGCGAUUGUGACUGCAUCGCUGGAGUGCGGCAGAGGGGGAUGGAAUUCCGCGUGUAGCAGUGAAAUGCGUAGAUAUGCGGAGGAACACCGAUGGCGAAGGCAAUCCCCUGGG
rnacentral:rRNA from 1 species